CUUUGGAGUUUAACCCUUCUGCCAAUCCAGAGGCAAGCACAAUAUUCUAGAGGAACUGUCAAACAGAUGCUUUGGAUUUUAACCCUUCUGCCAAUCCGGAGGCAACCACAAUAUUCCAGAGGAACUCUCAGACAGAUGGUAUCUACUGUGCGUUUCAGUCAACAAUACAGCUCAUGUUCGACAAUAUUCCUUGAUGACAGCACAGCCAGCCAGCCUUAUCUUACAAUGACAAUAAUAUCAGUGACUUUGGAGAUACAUCAUGAUAUCACGCAAAGGUGAGCUUUUUAGAAAACUGUCUUGUUAUUCCAGCUAAUUACUUUGCAAGAUACCAAGCUCAGUGUUAGGUCACAGCUCUAGACAUCAUAAGCUGUAUUGUGCCUGCUAAAAUAUUGAAGCAAAUUAUUUGUGUUUUCUUUGUUCCUUAAGACUCUCUUAAUUUUUAAAUGAUUGAGAAUCUCAAAGAGUAUGUGUUUAUAUUGAUUAUAUUGAUAUUUACUGUGGUAGAAAUAUAACAUUGAGUUUUUUUUCAAAAUCUAUUUUUAGUUUAGAUUUCACAGCCUUACCACUGUUGAUAUUAUGAGCUAGAUAACGCUUUGUUGUGAGGACUGUCCUGUGCAUUGCAGAGAGUUUGGCAGCAUUCAUGGCCUCUACCAACUAGAUGUCAGUAGUAACCCAUGGCCCAGGUUGUGACAACAGAAAAUAUUCCUAGAGAACAAUAUUGUUAACAGAAAUUUUUCAUCGAAAAAGUAACUUUUCUACAACAAAAAGUGGAGUAAAAAGUGUGUCAUGUAUUUAUAUUAUUUAAAGUCUCAUGUUGACCUUCAUAGGAGACAACUGGAUUCUCUAAAUCUUUCUUUGCAAUUUGCUCUAAAGAAGCAAUAAGAGACCGGGCGGGGUGGCUCAGGCCUGUAAUCCCAGCACUUUGGGAGGCCAACGUGGGUGGAUCGCAAGGUCAGGAAAUCGAGACCAUCCCGGCUAACACUGUGAAACCUGUCUCUACUAAAAAUACAAAAACUUAGCUGGGCAUGGUGGCACGUGCCUGUAGUCCCAGCUACUCUGGAGGCUGAGGCAGGAGAACCACUUGAAUCAGGGAGACGGAGGAUGCAGUGAGCCGAGAUCACACCACUGCAUUCCAGCUUGGGUAACAGAGCAAGACUCCAUCUCCAAAAAAAUAAAUAAAUAAAUAAAUAAAUAAAUAAAAAGUAAUAAGACUGCUGGGUGCGGUGGUUCACACCUGUAAUCCCAGCACUUUGGGAGGCUGAGGUGGGCAGAUCACUUGAGGUCAGGAGUUUGAGACCAGUCCGAUCAACAUGGUGAAACCCGCCUCCACUGAAAGUACAAAAAAUAGCUGGGCGCAGUGGUGCAUGCCUGUAGUCCCAGCUACUUGGGUGGCUGAGGUAGGAGAAUCCCAUGAACCCAGGAGGCGGAGGUUGCAGUGAGCUGAGAUCUCACCAUUGCAGCCCAGCCCGGGUGACAGAGGGAGACUCCGUCUCAAAAAAAGAAAAUAAGAAGCAAUAAAGUGACUUAACCUCAUGCAAAUAUGUAGUUGGUAAAAGGGGUAUUUUUUAAGUUUUCAGACAGUUGUGGGUAUUCUUUAAUACUAAAUCAAAACUUCACAAGUGCUAGUUUCUUAAAUUAGUCAUGGUGGCAUUUUCCAUAUUAAUAAAUUUAUUCCAUCAGUACUCAUUGAUCUUUCUUGCACAGUAAAUGGAUCUUUUGCCCCAUACUUGCAUUUAUAAUAUUAUGCAUUAAUUACUUGGCAUAUAUUGGUUUAUGUUUUAUUGUGUCAAAAAUCACUUUUAAUUUAACCACCAAUCUUUAAAACACUUUUAAGAAUUGAAAAGCUGUCAAGCCUACAGUAGAAGGAACAAGUUUUUCUUUUCUUUCCUUUUUCAUUUUUUUUUUUUUAAAUUAUACUUUAAGUUCUAGGGUACAUGUGCACAGUGUGGGGGUUUGUUACAUAUGUAUACAUGUGCCAUGUUGGUGUGCUGCACCCAUUAACUCAUCAUUUACAUUAGGUAUAUCUCCUAAUGCUAUCCCUCCCCACUCCCCCCACCCUACAAUAGGCCCCAGAGUGUGAUGUUCCCUUUCCGUGUCCAAGUGAUCUCAUUGUUCAAUUCCCACCUAUGAGUGAGAACAUGCAGUGUUUGGUUUGCUGUUCUUGCCAUAGUUUGCUGAGAAUGAUGGUUUCCAGCUUCAUCCAUGUCCCUACAAAGGACACAAACUCAUUCUUUUUUCUGGCUGCAUAGUAUUCCAUGGUGUAUAUGUGCCACAUUUUCUUAAUCCAGUCUGUCACUGAUGGACAUUUGGGUUGAUUCCAAGUCUUUGCUAUUAUGAAUAGUGCCGCAAUAAACAUAUGUGUGCAUGUGUCUUUAUAGCAGCAAGAUUUAUAAUCCUUUGGGUAUAUACCCAGUAAUGGGAUGGCUGGGUCAUAUGGUAUUUGUAGUUCUAGAUCCUUGAGGAAUCGCCAUACUGUUUUCCACAAUGGUUGAACCAGUUUACAAUCCCACCAACAGUGUUUCCUGACUUUUUAAUGAUCACCAUUCUAACUGGUAUGAGAUGGUAUCUCAUUGUGGUUUUGAUUUGCAUUCCUCUGAUGGCCAGUGAUAACGAGCAGUUUUUCAUGUGUCUGUUGGCUGUAUGAAUGUCUUCUUUUGAGAAGUGUCUGUUCAUAUCCUUUGCCCACUUUUUGAUGGGGUUGUUUGUUUUUUUCUUGUAAAUUUGUUUGAGUUCUUUGUAGGUUCUGGAUAUUAGCCCUUUGUCAGAUGAGCAGAUUGCACAAAUUUUCUCCCAUUCUGUAGGUUGCCUGUUCACUCUGAUGAUAGUUUCUUUUGCUGUGCAGAUGCUCUUUAGUUUAAUUAGAUCCCAUUUGUCAAUUUUGGCUUUUGUUGCCAUUGCUUUUGGUGUUUAGACAUGAAGUCCUUGUCCAUGCCUAUGUCCUGAAUGGUAUUACCUAGGUUUUCUUUUAGGGUUUUUAUGGUUUUAGGUCUAACAUUUAAGUCUCUAAUCCAUCUUGAAUUAAUUUUCGUAUAAGGAGUAAGGAAAGGAUCUAGUUUCAGCUUUCUACUUAUGGUUAGCCAAUUUUCCCAGCACCAUUUAUUAAAUAGGGAAUCCUUUCCCCAUUUCUUGUUUUUUGUCAGGUUUGUCAAAGAUCAGAUGGCUGUAGAUGUGUGGUAUUAUUUCUGAGGGCUCUGUUCUGUUUCAUUGGUCUAUAUCUCUGUUUUGGUACCAGUACCAUGCUGUUUUGGUUACUGUACCCUUGUAGUAUAGUUUGAAGUCAGGUUGUGUGAUGCCUCCAGGUUUGUUCUUUUGGCUUAGGAUUGUCUUGGCAAUGCGGGGUCUUUUUUGGUUCCAUAGGAACUUUAAAGCAGUUUUUUCCAAUUCUGUGAAGAAACUCAUUGUUAGCUUAAUGGGGAU
rnacentral:lncRNA from 10 species